rnacentral:rRNA from 1 species
UACGUAGGGGGCAAGCGUUGUCCGGAUUUAUUGGGCGUAAAGAGCGUGUAGGCGGCCAGGUAGGUCUGCUGUGAAAACUCGAGGCUUAACCUCGAGCUGUCGGCGGAAACCAUCUGGCUAGAGUCCGGAAGAGGAGAAUGGAAUUCCCGGUGUAGCGGUGGAAUGCGUAGAGAUCCGGAAGAACACCAGUGGCGAAGGCGGCCCGCUGGGCAGUGGCUGACGCUGAGGCGCGACAGCGUGGGGAGCAAACAGG